rnacentral:tRNA from 1 species
GCCGGCGUGGCGAAACAGGUAGACGCACUGGACUCAAAAUCCAGCGGAUGUUAAAUCCGUGUCGGUUCGACUCCGACCGCCGGCA